GACGAACGCUGGCGGCGUGCUUAACACAUGCAAGUCGAACGGAAAGGCCCUGCUUUUGUGGGGUGCUCGAGUGGCGAACGGGUGAGUAACACGUGAGUAACCUGCCCUUGACUUUGGGAUAACUUCAGGAAACUGGGGCUAAUACCGGAUAGGAGCUCCUGCUGCAUGGUGGGGGUUGGAAAGUUUCGGCGGUUGGGGAUGGACUCGCGGCUUAUCAGCUUGUUGGUGGGGUAGUGGCUUACCAAGGCUUUGACGGGUAGCCGGCCUGAGAGGGUGACCGGCCACAUUGGGACUGAGAUACGGCCCAGACUCCUACGGGGGGCAGCAGUGGGGAAUAUUGCACAAUGGGCGGAAGCCUGAUGCAGCAACGCCGCGUGCGGGAUGACGGCCUUCGGGUUGUAAACCGCUUUCGCCUGUGACGAAGCGUGAGUGACGGUAAUGGGGAAAGAAGCACCGGCGAACUACGU
rnacentral:rRNA from 1 species